rnacentral:rRNA from 1 species
UACGUAGGUGGCAAGCGUUGUCCGGAUUUAUUGGGCGUAAAGAGCGUGUAGGCGGCCAGAUAGGUCCGUUGUGAAAACUCGAGGCUCAACCUCGAGACGCCGAUGGAAACCAUCUGGCUAGAGUCCGGAAGAGGGUCGCGGAAUUCCCGGUGUAGAGGUGAAAUUCGUAGAUAUCGGGAGGAACACCAGUGGCGAAGGCGGCGACCUGGGCCAAUACUGACGCUGAGGUGCGAAAGCGUGGGGAGCAAACAGG